rnacentral:rRNA from 1 species
CCCUUAGAUGUCCGGGGCUGCACGCGCGCUACACUGAAGGAAUCAGCGUGCUAAAACCAUUGUCGAAAGGCAUUGGUAAACCCAUUAAAAUCCUACGUGAUUGGGAUCGGGAAUUGCAAUUAUUUCCCUUGAACGAGGAAUUCCCAGUAAGUGUGGGUCAUAAGCUCGCGUUGAUUACGUCCCUGCCCUUUGUACACACCGCCCGUCGCUGCCCGGGACUGAGCCGUUUCGAGAAAAGCGGGGACUGCUGCUGUCGGGGCUUUCGGGCCUUGGCUUCGGUGGAAACCGCUUUAAUCGCAGUGGCUUGAACCGGGCAAAAGNCGUAACA